rnacentral:tRNA from 1 species
CGCGGGGUGGAGCAGCCUGGUAGCUCGUCGGGCUCAUAACCGGAAGGUCGUCGGUUCAAAUCCGGCCCCCGCAACCA